rnacentral:miRNA from 1 species
GGUUUCUCUGUGUAGCUUUGGCUGUCCUGGAACUCACUCUGUAGCCCAGGCUGGCCUCGAACUCAGAAAUCUGCCUGCCUCUGCCUCCCAAGUGCUGGGAUUAAAGGCAUGUGCCACCACACCCG